rnacentral:rRNA from 1 species
UACGCAGGUGGCAAGCGUUAUCCGGAAUUACUGGGCGUAAAGCGUGCGCAGGCGGCUUUGCAAGACAGAUGUGAAAUCCCCGGGCUUAACCUGGGAACUGCAUUUGUGACUGGCGGGCUAGAGUAUGGCAGAGGGGGGUAGAAUUCCACGUGUAGCAGUGAAAUGCGUAGAGAUGUGGAGGAAUACCGAUGGCGAAGGCAGCCCCCUGGGCCAAUACUGACGCUCAUGCACGAAAGCGUGGGGAGCAAACAGG